CCUCUAUCUAUCCAGGCCCUCAUUUUCAUGGAGUUUUUCAUUUCAAAGGAAAAAUCCUCGAAAACAAAAAUAUUAUCCAAUAAAAAACCUAUCUUUUAAAGAUUCGAUGACAUCAGCAGAAGAAGAAGGAAGGAAAUGAACUGUCUUCAGAUCUAACAAUAUCAGAUCACUUCACACUCGGUAUUUCUCAAGUGCAUACUUCAUUUUUUUCCCCGUUUGAUGAUUAUGGUUUAAUAAGAUCCUGAUUCGCGGCAACAGAGUAGUGUGUUGUUAUUAUUACCAUGAUUUUCCUUUGAAUCUUGCUGGAUCUACGAUGGCGAAGUCACGGUGUCGUUUCGGGUGUGAUUUUGUUCUCAAAAUUGUCACCUUUAUCGUAUUCCAGUAGCCUGUAACGAGGAUUUAGUAUAGCUAGAAGUUGGUUUAUCAAAGGAUUCAGCUGACUCAUUGAAUCAGUGGGGGUUUCAUAAUAAAAAUUAAGCAAAAUAUGGAGACUCUUCUUGUGGCGGAGCAUAGGAAUCAAUACUGUAGCAGGGUGAACCCACAUGGACCAGCCGGGUUUGGGUCUUCAUCUUCUAGAAAUUUCAGAGGGAUUAACUGUUGCACUUUUCAACCUGGAGCAGGAUUACUCCCAACUCCGUUCAAGUAUAGUUCUACCCCUUUAACCAAACAACUAUCUUCCCCAAAAUCACCAUCUCCUUUUGCUGAUGGUACACGCUCAAAUACUACGAGGAAUAGUCUGCUAUUCCUAUCAAUGACAACAGAAGCCCUAGAAAGGAUAAGUAUUUUAAUGAGAUCUCUGGUGAAGGUUUUAUGUACUCUGAGCUUUGGGUUGGACCUGCAUAUUCCAAUUCACCACCUCCGAGCUCUUUGCCGAUGCGUGAAGAGGACAAUGUCCUUUGAUUUACCUGAUGCUGACCCAGUUGUCGAUGUUUACCCAACUGCCAAGUCCGCACCUUCAUCUCUACUAGGGAGCUUAGCCCUUCUUUUGUGGAACUUUUUAAUAAUGUUGAUUCUGCGACUAAGACGCUGCGUCGCAUUCUGAAUCUUGACAAAACAGAUGACUGAAAAGGGUGAAGGAGUUUGAAAAUAGGUUUGCUGUGGCAAAUUUGGAGUUAGUUUUAGAUUGUAUAUAGAUUGAAUAAGAUGGUUGUUAACAUGGAUCAGGAGGAGUGAAGUUAGCUUUCAUUGGUGUUGUUACGAGGAGUAGUUUUGCUCUAUGAACUGAUCUCUUGUGAGAAUUUGGUACCGGUUAUAAAUUUUCAUUGACAGGUACGGUAUGUCUGUAAUGUGUGGCUUUUGUAAACUUGGGUGGAAUAGAGGAUUACUGAGCUGUUCUGGAAUCUGUAAGGAGCUUACAUGAGAACCAAAGUUUCUUGGCACUCACCUUUGGCAUGAAAUUGCACUGAUGGCUGUCGCUUAUCGUUUAGGCUUGAAGUAGAUCAUGUACUUGUUAGUUGGUGAUAGUGUCGGUUGUGUUGUUAAGUUCCAACUAUUUUCUUCCUUUAGCAUUGUUGUAUGUACUGUAGUCUUCAGAAUCUCCAGUAAAUUGCUUUCCCAAAUUUCUUGGACCUCUCCUUUGAUGCCUCUUCUCAUCAUCAUUACUCCCUUUACAUCCGAUCAUUGUUCUUUUGUGUCUAAUACCCUGGUGAUGGUCUUUAUUUUUCUUGUAAACUCUUUCCUUUGUCUGUCACUGCCUGAAUUGGCUGCUUUACAAUCAAAUAUCCUAAAAAUACUGUUUCUUCCAUUUAGUAAGUGUUUUCUCUGACCGUCUUUUUUUGUUUUUUAAAGAAGAAGGGGUAGGGGGAAGUAAGGUGGUUGUAUCUUCACUUCUGUUUCUUAAGGUUGUUAGCUUUAGAUUAAGCAGUGUUGCUAUGCCGGUCGCAAGUUGCAAGUGAUGCUAGUCUUGUUCGUCGGAAUGGGUAUUGAUACUUCAUAGUGUUCUUUCUUAGAGAUCGUUGAAUGUGCCAAGCUACUUGCAAGUGUGCUAGUGGGAUAUAAGUAUUUGAGGAGGCUGUUGUUGAAGUGUAUUUCUUCCUGCUGGAUGCCUGUCUGAUAUGCUUGUUUGCCAUUGAAUGAGUUAGCUUAUGCUUUCUUUAUUGCCAUGUUAAUGUUCAGAGUGCAAUAUUUCUUCUUU